rnacentral:rRNA from 1 species
UACGAAGGGGGCUAGCGUUGCUCGGAAUCACUGGGCGUAAAGGGUGCGUAGGCGGGUCUUUAAGUCAGGGGUGAAAUCCCUGGAGCUCAACUCCAGAACUGCCUUUGAUACUGAGGAUCUUGAGUUCGGGAGAGGUGAGUGGAACUGCGAGUGUAGAGGUGAAAUUCGUAGAUAUUCGCAAGAACACCAGUGGCGAAGGCGGCUCACUGGCCCGAUACUGACGCUGAGGCACGAAAGCGUGGGGAGCAAACAGG